GCUUGGGUAAUGGUGGAUACUAUAAGGAGAAAGCAAGGAAGCAAACAGACAGACAUGAGGUAGAAGUCAGGUUCUGGAACCCAAAUAUCAUCCUAACAGGUUAGAACACCAAGAGCAAUGAAGGAGGUUGAGCACAGCACAGCUUGAUUAAGCAGGGCACAGAAUCCAUCAGGUGACACAUGGACUCUCUGGGAAGCACCAACAUGGUCAGCCAAGGAAGCUAGAAGAAAAAUAAUGACCUCAGAGAACAGUUAUUUGUGAAAAGGCAUUUUCUGAAUCAGUAAGGGUGUCUUAUUUUCCCUUAGCUUUACUCUGUGCAUAAAUUGGGGGACAGUGCAGUUCCUUCUGUUUGGGUGUGGUUCAUUC
rnacentral:lncRNA from 10 species